GACGAACGCUGGCGGCGUGCUUAACACAUGCAAGUCGAACGGAAAGGCCCUGCUUUUGUGGGGUGCUCGAGUGGCGAACGGGUGAGUAACAAGUGAGUAACCUGCCCUUGACUUUGGGAUAACUUCAGGAAACUGGGGCUAAUACCGGAUAGGAGCUCCUGCUGCAUGGUGGGGGUUGGAAAGUUUCGGCGGUUGGGGAUGGACUCGCGGCUUAUCAGCUUGUUGGUGGGGUAGUGGCUUACCAAGGCUUUGACGGGUAGCCGGCCUGAGAGGGUGACCGGCCACAUUGGGACUGAGAUACGGCCCAGACUCCUACGGGAGGCAGCAGUGGGGAAUAUUGCACAAUGGGCGGAAGCCUGAUGCAGCAACGCCGCGUGCGGGAUGACGGCCUUCGGGUUGUAAACCGCUUUCGCCUGUGACGAAGCGUGAGUGACGGUAAUGUGUAAAGAAGCACCGGCUAACUACGUG
rnacentral:rRNA from 1 species